rnacentral:rRNA from 1 species
GCAGCCGCCGCGGUAAUACAGAGGGUGCGAGCGUUAAUCGGAUUUACUGGGCGUAAAGCGUGCGUAGGCGGCUUCUUAAGUCGGAUGUGAAAUCCCUGAGCUUAACUUAGGAAUUGCAUUCGAUACUGGGAAGCUAGAGUAUGGGAGAGGAUGGUAGAAUUCCAGGUGUAGCGGUGAAAUGCGUAGAGAUCUGGAGGAAUACCGAUGGCGAAGGCAGCCAUCUGGCCUAAUACUGACGCUGAGGUACGAAAGCAUGGGGAGCAAACAGGAUUAGAUACCCCGGUAGUCCCUGUCUCUUAUAC